rnacentral:rRNA from 1 species
UAGGGAAUCUUCCGCAAUGGGCGAAAGCUUGACGGAGCAACUCCGCGUGAGUGAUGAAGGUCUUCGGAUCGUAAAACUCUGUUAUUAGGGAAGAACAAAUGUGUAAGUAACUAUGCACGUCUUGACGGUACCUAAUCAGAAAGCCACGGCUAACUACGUGCCAGCAGCCGCGGUAAUACGUAGGUGGCAAGCGUUAUCCGGAAUUAUUGGGCGUAAAGCGCGCGUAGGCGGUUUUUUAAGUCUGAUGUGAAAGCCCACGGCUCAACCGUGGAGGGUCAUUGGAAACUGGAAAACUUGAGUGCAGAAGAGGAAAGUGGAAUUCCAUGUGUAGCGGUGAAAUGCGCAGAGAUAUGGAGGAACACCAGUGGCGAAGGCGACUUUCUGGUCUGUAACUGACGCUGAUGUGCGAAAGCGUGGGGAUCAAACAGG